rnacentral:rRNA from 1 species
UACGUAGGGGGCAAGCGUUGUCCGGAAUUAUUGGGCGUAAAGAGCGUGUAGGCGGCUCGGUAAGUCUGCUGUGAAAGUCCAAGGCUCAACUUGGAAUGCCGGUGGAUACUGUCGAGCUCGAGUCCGGAAGAGGCGAGUGGAAUUCCUGGUGUAGCGGUGAAAUGCGCAGAUAUCAGGAGGAACACCAAUGGCGAAGGCAGCUCGCUGGGACGGUACUGACGCUGAGACGCGAAAGCGUGGGGAGCAAACAGG